UUUUACUAUUAGGGUUACACAUCUUAAAUGAUGCAUAGUGAGUCUCAUCGUCAAGGUGAUUGCGUUUGUGUUUUCUUAAAAAGACCAUUAUAACCCCUCAUGAAUGUAGAACUGACUGAAGCUUGUGUAAUAGCUCAGUGCGCUCUGUUUUGAGCAGGCAAGAAAAUAUUACAGGAGUGGACGACACGCCUUUGUGACACAAGUUUCACAUCGGACUUGCUGCAGGAUAUGCUGGGAGACAUAUGCAGCACAGCCUUUAUUAGUCCUGACUGAUGUAUCUCCCAUUAACACAUUUUGUUGUCAGAGUUCUGAUGUGACACGCGUGGAUGGAGAAGAACAAGUGCAGGGCAGCAGAUCAGGCUCAUCGAUUCCCCAGAGCUCUCCGACAUAUUAAGAGUUUCCAUCGCGACCAGGGUUCGAAGGGCAUAUGACGGGUCGAUAUCGCUGAUGUCACGCUCCCUGAAAAGAGACACGGGAGCCAUUUACACAAAUGUGAGCUGAUGUUUGGUCACCAGGGACGAAGAUGGUGCAGUACUGUGCGUGUGUGAACGGCAUGAUGGUGGCAGCCAUCUUACUCAGCAGAACCUCAAAAGAAUGGUGCUCCAUUGACAACACCUGUGCCAUCUCUAUCAGGGCCUG